rnacentral:lncRNA from 1 species
UGGAUUUGGAGGAAAAGAUUGUUAACUUCCGAAGAACUCCUAGAUCUGUCGUUACAUCGUAUUUAUUGAGCAUGUUGGGAAGUUUCAAUUUUCAGCUUGUAUACGACAAGUGAAAAUUGGUUGGAGAUCUUUAAUGUCAAUUUUAUCACUUUUCGUUUGGAAACUCUAUGCUUGAUAUUACGUCUCAGGAACGCAUAGUUCUUUUCCUUCAGUUUAUCGGGUAGUGAAGCUAGCUUUGCUUUUACCGGUUGUAACCACAACAGUUGAAAGAAGUUUUUCGAAAUUGAAGCUUGUCAAGACGGAUUUACGCAAUCGAAUGGGCCCAGAAUUUUUGAACAAUGCUAUGGUUUGUGCGGUCGAAAAUGAUUUUUUACGUGAAGUAAAAGACGACGAUGUGAUAGAACGAUUUCAAGCUAUGAAAAAAAGAAGAGGACAAAUCUAUUAGAUAUUUGUUUUACUUUAUUUAUUUAUUGUCGUUUUUUUUAAUAUUGUAUGAUUGCACGGUGAAACUUUUUUUUUUUUAGGAUACCCCUGAGUUAAUGUUCUAGUUCCGCCACUGCAAUGAAUGAUAGUAUCAAAUGCUACUUGAUUCAACGAGCUAUUAAAAAUAAUAUAAUUGUGC